AUUGAACGCUGGCGGCAGGCUUAACACAUGCAAGUCGAGCGGAGAGAGGUAGCUUGCUACUGAUCUUAGCGGCGGACGGGUGAGUAAUGCUUAGGAAUCUGCCUAUUAGUGGGGGACAACAUUUCGAAAGGAAUGCUAAUACCGCAUACGUCCUACGGGAGAAAGCAGGGGAUCUUCGGACCUUGCGCUAAUAGAUGAGCCUAAGUCGGAUUAGCUAGUUGGUGGGGUAAAGGCCUACCAAGGCGACGAUCUGGAGCGGGUCGGAGAGGAUGAUCCGCCACACUGGGACUGAGACACGGCCCGGACUCCUACGGGAGGCAGCAGUGGGGAAUAUUGGACAAUGGGCGCAAGCCUGAUCCAGCCAUGCCGCGUGUGUGAAGAAGGCCUUAUGGUUGUAAAGCACUUUAAGCGAGGAGGAGGCUACUUUAGUUAAUACCUAGAGAUAGUGGACGUUACUCGCAGAAUAAGCACCGGCUAACUACGUGCCAGCAGCCGCAGUAACAC
rnacentral:rRNA from 1 species